rnacentral:rRNA from 1 species
UAUGUAGAUGCUUACAAUGUUAAUGCAUCGAAUCCCAUUAGAACUUCACAGUUAAGCAUGUUUUUGAUAGAGUAGUACUAGGAUGAGUGACCUCUUGGGAAGUCCUCGUGUUUUACAUGC